CUGCUGUCUUGGUUUUGGGCAUACAAGCACCUAAUAUAAGAUCUCCAAGUUUUAGCCGACUGCAUAUUUUUCCACCGCAUCACACCAUUCUCACAACUCUAGUUUAAGUUCUCCAUCUUCCACAUCCCUCUGAUUCCACUAAAAAGCCUUGAACUCACGGUGGGUACUGAGGCUGGUGAUCACGACAGGCAUUUUUUCCCCUCGCCGUGGCUAGGUGCAGUCAACAUCCCUCUGUGUCUCUUUUCUCAAGUUCUAGUAUCCUUCGCCUGUGGUGAAGCUUACGCGUCUGCCUGAUUGAUUUGUACCGCACAGAGCUGCCCAGAACGCCGCCUUGACAGACGGUGAACACCCCCAUGGACAGGGCCAACGUCGUCUGACCCAACUGUAGUUCAUUCAAGACGAUUUUGGUGAGCACCGUAACCUAGCAUGGUCACUGAUACUCUCCGUGCUUUACGUUUGAAUGCUACCGAGUGGAAGAGGUGGGAACGGCUCGUCGGAGUUUCGGUUUUCGCCACCGCCGUGGCUAGAAAUGAUCUCGAGCGCUUGAGGCCGAUUGAGCGGGAAAACGUUGGGAGGUGAUUUCGGGGGUCACGUUGUUGUACCCAGGUUCGUCGAAGAGGGUCCUCGACGGCGAGCCCAAUCCUGGGUGGCUGGCGGUGAGGUUUUCGCCGUCGUGGACCGGCGUUUGUAAAUAAGGGAGGAGGCAGGGACAUCAGUGCUCAUGUCAGUGAGAGGGGAGAAUAAUGUUUGAUCUCGUAACUAAUUAAUCAGGGCGGCAGGGGUUUCUGCGCAAAAACGCACAGCGCGAGCGCGGGCGGACGGCGCGGGGCCGGUUUCUCUGCUGUUAGUGGGCCGCACGGGUUGGUUUCGGCCCAGUCUCUGUUAGAACGUUGUCUUUUUCUUUUAGCUGCCAACUUGUAAAAUGCACAAAAAAUACAGUAAAAUGUAAAAAUUGUGAAACCAAUUUUAUUGAGUUCACAAAAUUAUGUAGUUUCUGCUCGAAACAUUUCUAGGAUUUUUACGGCAAUAAUUAAAUUUUUGAGUAUUUAAGUGCUUCUAGAAAGCUUAAAUGAAUUUUAGAAAUAAAACCAGAGCACCAAAAACUAUGAAAAUUUGUAGAAAGAUUAUAUAACCAUAGAAUAGCUUCUAGUAAAAUUUUGAAUUUGUUUGGAAUUGAUUUACUUAGAGAACCAGAAACAAGAUAAGUAGACAUAAUUGAAACCUUAACUCUUGGUGCAAAUUUAGGAUUAAAUCAAACUUGAGCCAUACUUAAUGUUAAACUAUAACUUGGUCAAGUAGAACUUGAAGAAUUCUCUGAUUUCUCUAACGGGGCGUUUGGAUUCCUUCAUUUUAGAGGAAUUGGAAUUCACUCAAUAAAGUAACUUAUUUAGUUUGGAAUUUGACAUUCCACCGCUUUCCAAAGUUCAUAUAUUAGUAUAUCUCAAAUUCAUGAGGUGGAGGAUGGGAAAUGGUUUUAUGCAUGAGUAGAAUUUGUUUCUACUCUAUAACUUACAUGACACUCUUUGUCUCACACUACUCUAUAGUAAACAUGUAGCACAUAAAUAUCUCCGACAUCUUGGUAAUAAUAGUAUACAAAUAUAUUUUAUAUAAAAUCGAAUUAUCUUAAUUAUUAUAUGCCUAAAUUACUAUUAUUAGAAUGAAAUUCAAUUCUAAUGAUCCAAACGAGACGUAAAGUAAGUUUAUUAUGAUCCCUUUAGAUAAAGAUUAUACUACCUAGAAACAUGAGUAUAAGUGUCUUGUGCUUAACUUAGAGUCUAUAAGCUUUCUACCUCUCCCCAAGCGAGAAUUUGCAUAGCAUAUCAUUACAUAAGCAUUCAUAUACUUCGAAUUGACUUGUAGAGCACCUUGAAGAAGAAUUUAAAGUGGAAGUUGGAAGGGGAGCCUGUUCCUCCAUCUGAAACUUCUCCAACUGAGGUUAUCACUGAAGGUCAUCCGGAAGGUGCCCCAUUUGGAUUUGCUGCUAAUUAUAAUAUCCUGGUAGAAGAACCCAACUCUCCUCCUCACCAAGGCAAGCCCCGGUGCAUUUGCCCCUUCCUUGUAUUUUUAAAAGAUUUUUAUACACUUUAAAUCUAGUGAAAUGUGCAUUAAGUUUAUAGGAGUUGCUUGGAAACUAUUGGAUGCAUUGACUACCUUGAUAUCCAUUCCUGUUAUAGGUACUUCUUUGGAAGUAUCAAAUAUUGUUUACCAAAAUGCUUAGACCUGCUUAGAUCUUGUGGAUAGAGGUUGUCUUUUGCAAUAAUGCCUAGCUCAGGGGUUAUCCUGAGGAAGGAUGACUUCUACCUGCAAGAAUAUUUUCAUUGGGAGCAUGGUGGGAUCUUACUGCAAAGUUCCCUAUAAUGCUCUUUUCAUCCUAAGGAACACAAAACAAUCCUAAGGAUGGAAGUACUUAAAUCGUGACUUGGGCUAGGAACAGGUGAUCCUCCACCCAGGUUAAUUAAGGAUUGGAUGCGUAUGUAGGCUUGUAUGCUAUCUUAACUGGCCACAUGCCCUGGAUAUGGGACAGGGUAAGCUUGAACCCGGCUAUUCCAUACAUGAAAAGACAAUUGCGCACUCGGAGUGGAGAGAUGGCGAGAGUGGCACGUACCCUCCUGGCAAAGGACCGCCUAAAAGGGGUGGUGUGCUCUCGGGUGGCGCGGACCUGUUCAUGCAGUGGAGGAUCCGUGGGAAUGGUAGACAUAUGCAAGAGUCACGAGAAACAUAUGUCGUGUGGUUAGAGAUCCUCAGCUGAGUAAAUCGAUUCAGAUCGCCAUUAUAUCCCCAGAUAGUGGAGACUUGAUCUCCGACCUACAACCUAAGUCAGGAUGUAAACAUUAUGAGUAAAAAUGAUGUUGUAUUGAUGAGAUGGUGAAAUUAGACUAGAUGCAACCAGAUUCUAUUAAUAUUUAAUCUGGCGUUAAAGUAUUGAAAGUAAGGACUCACUUUAGUAAGCUAUUUCUGCAAAAGUAUCUAAGUUGAUUCUUGCUAAAGCCUUUUCCUUGAUUCCUAUUUAACCAGCAUAUCCUUGAGAGUCAUUUUCCUUAGUCGGGUAAGACUUGCGAAAGUAUACUCCGUACUCAGGGUUUUCGAACCCAUGUUGUUGUAGGUGAUGAGGAGUACUCUAAGUGUUCCUGUGGCUAGAGGGCGUUUCCAGUUCUAGAGGAGGAUUUGUUAGGCUUGUGUAUAAGCUUUGGAGGGUUCCUACCUUCCUGCUAUGGUAAUAAGAUAUGCACUUUAAGUAUAUCAGGACUUGUAAUAAAUGUAACUCUUCCUAUGUAAUAACCUUCAGUUUUAGAAAUGAAAAGAAUGUUUUGUAAAGUCUUCCGCUCUUAUCUCCGAAGUGUGUGUAUCUAAUGUUGAUUACUGUAAUAUGCAUGUAUGGUGGGAGAUCCUUGGGAUAAUGAGUUCAAGUUGUUGAACUCGUGAUAGCCUUGUUAAGUUACCAGGUACACGUGCAUAGCCAUCUGAGGCCAUCAAGGCAAGAAUUGGUGCACGUGGGCCCGAUAACUUGGGAGGGCUGCCACAGCGAACACAACACGACAGCGUGCAAACAGUGCGCGAACACGCUGAAAGUCGCCUAGAGGGGGGUGAAUAGGAAAAUCUAAAAUUUAUAAACUUUAAGCACAACUACAAGCCGGGGUUAGCGUUAGAAAUAAAGUCAAGUCUGAAAGAGAGGGCGAAAACAAAUCACAAGCAAAUGAAAGCGGAUGACACAUUGAUUUGUUUUACCGAGGUUCGGUUCUUGCAAACCUACUCCCCAUUGAGGUGGUCACAAAGACCGGGUCUCUUUCAACCCUUUCCCUCUCUCAAACGGUCACCUAGACCGAGUGAGCUUUUCUCCUUAAUCAACGGGUCACUUAGACCCCUUACAAGGACCACCACAACUUGGUGUCUCUUGCUUGAUUACAAGUUGCUUGAGAACAAGAAUGGAGGAAGAAGAAAAGCGAUCCAAGCGACAAGAACUCAAAUGAACACGAAUAUCUCUGUCUCACUAGCCACUAAGUGUUUGGAGUGAAUUUGGACUUGGAGAGGAUUUGAUCUCUUGAUUUGUGUCUUGGAGUGAAGUCUAGAGCUCUUGUAUUGAAUGCAAUGGCUGAAAACUUGGAUGCCUUGAAGUGUGGUGGUUGGGGGGUAUUUAUAGCCUCAACCACCAAAAUGGCCGUUGGGGAGGCUGUUAGUCGAUGGGCGCACCGGACACUGUCCAGUGCGCCAGCCACGUCACCCAACCGUUAGGGUUCGACCGUUGGAGCUCUGACAGCCUGGGCCACCGGACAGUCACUGUUCACUGUCCGGUGCGCCAUCUGGCGCCUGCUCUGACUCUGCGCGAACUGUCCGCGCACUGUAGCGCACUGUUCACCUUUUGCAGACGACCGUUGGCGCUGUAGCCGUUGCUCCGCAUGGCACACCGAACAGUCCGAUGAAUUAUAGCGGAGUGGCUUUUCUAGAAACCCGAAGGUGGCGAGUUCGAGUUGAUCCACCCUGGUGCACCGGACACUGUCCGGUGCGCCAGACCAAGGAAGCCUUCAGUUUCUUUUGCUCAUUUCUUUUUGAACCCUAUCUUGGACUUUUUAUUGGUUUGUGUUGAGUCUUUGGCACCUGUAGAACUUAUAAUCUAGAGCAAACUAGUUAGUCCAAUUAUUUGUGUUGGGCAAUUCAACCACCAAAAUCAUUUAGAAAAAGGUUUGAGCCUAUUUCCCUUUCAAUCUCCCCCUUUUUGGUGAUUGAUGCCAACACAAACCAAAGCAAAUAUAUAAGUGCAUAAUUGAACUAGUUUGCAUAAGGUAAGUGCAAAGGUUGCUUGGAGUUAAACCAAUUUAAACUUUCAUAAGAUAUGCAUGGAUUGCUUUCUUUCUUUUAACAUUUUGGACCACGCUUGCACCACUUGUUUUGUUUUUGCAAAUGUUUUUGGAAAUUAUUUUUCACAGUCUUUUUGCAAAUAGUAAAAGGUAAAUGAAUAAGAUUUCAAGAAGCAUUUUCAAGAUUUGAAAUUUUCUCCCCCUGUUUCAAAUGCUUUUCCUUUGACUAAACAAAACUCCCCCUGGAUGAAAUUCUUCUCUUAGUGUUCAAGAGGGUUUUACAAAUUGAGAGAAUGUCAGAUACUUUAGAUACCAAAUUUUGAAAAACUCCUUAAAAUAUAGAUAUAGUUUGAGAUAGAAUUUCUUAGAGGAAUACUAAUUUCAAAGAUACCAAUUGAAGAACAUUUAAAAACUUGUUUCGAAAAAUUUUGAAAUUGGCGUGGUGGUGCGGUCCUUUUGCUUUGGGCUAAUACUCUCUCCCCCUUUGGCAUUAAUGGCCAAAAACGGAGUCUUUAGAGCCCUUUUACUUUCUCCCCAAUGGUACAAAUAAAUAUGAGUGAAGAUUAUACCAAAGUGAAGAGCGAUGCGGAGUGACGGCGAAGGGUAAUUAAUACGAUGGAGUGGAGUGGAAGUCUUGUCUUCGCCGAAGACUCCAUUUCCCUUUCAAUCUAUGACUUAGCAUAAGAAUACACUUGAAAACACAUUAGUCAUAGCACAUGAAAGAGAUAUGAUCAAAGGUAUAUAAAUGAGCUAAGUGUGCAAAGUAUCAAUCAAAAUUCUGAGAAUCAAGAAUGUUUAGCUCAUUCCUAAGUUUGGUAAAGGUUUUCUCAUCUAAUGGUUUGGUAAAGAUAUCGGCUAGUUGUUCUUUGGUGCUAACAUAAGCAAUCUCGAUAUCCCCCUUUGUUGGUGAUCCCUCAAAAAGUGAUACCGAAUGGCUAUGUGUUUAGUGCAGCUGUGCUCAACGGGAUUAUCCGCCAUGCGGAUUGCACUCUCAUUAUCACAUAGGAGAGGGACUUUGGUUAAUUUGUAGCCAUAGUCCCUAAGGGUUUGCCUCAUCCAAAGCAAUUGCGUGCAACAAUGGCCUGCGACAAUGUACUCGGCUUCGGCGGUAGAAAGAGCUACUGAAUUUUGUUUCUUUGAAACCCAAGACACCAGGGAUCUUCCCAAGAACUGACAAGUCCCUGAUGUGCUCUUUCUAUCAAUUUUACACCCUACCCAAUCAGCAUCUGAAUAACCUAUUAAAUCAAAGGUGGAUCCCUUGGGGUACCAAAGACCAAACUUAGGUGUAUGAACUAAAUAUCUCAAGAUUCGUUUUACGACCCUAAGGUGAACUUCCUUAGGAUCGGCUUGGAAUCUUGCACACAUGCAUACGGAAAGCAUAAUAUCCGGUCGAGAAGCACAUAAAUAGAGUAAAGAUCCUAUCAUCGACCGGUAUACCUUUUGAUCUACGUAUUUACCUCCCGUGUCGAGAUCGAGAUGCCCAUUGGUUCCCAUGGGUGUCUUGAUGGGCUUGGCAUCCUUCAUUCCAAACUUAGUGAGUAUGUCUUGAAUGUACUUCGUUUGACUGAUGAAGGUGCCCUCUUGGAGUUGCUUCACUUGAAAUCCUAAGAAAUACUUAAACUCCCCUAUCAUCAACAUCUCGAAUUUUUGAAUCAUUAUCCUACUAAACUCUUCACAAGUAGAUUUGUUAGUAGACCCAAAUAUGAUAUCAUCAACAUAAAUUUGGCAUACAAACAAAUCAUUUGCAAUAGUUUUAGUAAAGAGAGUAGGAUCGGCUUUGCCGACUUUGAAGCCAUUAGUGAUAAGGAAAUCUCUUAGGCAUUCAUACCAUGCUCUUGGGGCUUGCUUGAGCCCAUAAAGCGCCUUAGAGAGUUUAUACACAUGGUUAGGGUACUCACUAUCUUCAAAACCGGGAGGUUGCUCAACAUAGACCUCUUCCUUGAUUUGUCCAUUGAGGAAGGCACUUUUCACGUCCAUUUGGUAAAGCUUAAAGCCAUGGUAAGUAGCAUAUGCAAGUAAUAUGCGAAUUGACUCAAGCCUAGCUACGGGUGCAUAGGUUUCACCGAAAUCCAAACCUUCGACUUGAGAAUAUCCCUUGGCCACAAGUCGGGCUUUGUUCCUUGUCACCACACCAUGCUCAUCUUGCUUGUUGCGGAAGACCCACUUGGUUCCUACAACAUUUUGGUUAGGACAUGGAACAAGAUGCCAUACCUCAUUCCUCGUGAAGUUGUUGAGUUCCUCUUGCAUUACCAACACCCAAUCCAAAUCUCUUAAUGCAUCUUCCAUCCUGUAUGGCUCAAUAGAAGACACAAAAGAGUAAUGUUCACAAAAAUGUGCGACACGAGAUCGAGUGGUUACCCCCUUAUGAAUAUCGCCGAGGAUGGAGUUCACGGGGUGAUCUCGUUGUAUCGCUUGGUGGACUCUUGGGUGUGGCGGUCUUUGACUUUGAUCAUCUUCCUUGUCUUGAUCAACUUCAUCUCCCCCUUGAUCGUUGUCCUCCUCUUGAGGUGGCUCUUCUUGAUCUUCAUUUUCAUCAUCUUGAGCUUGGUCCUCAUCUUGAGUUGGUGGAGAUGCUUGCAUGGAAGAUGACGGUUGAUCUUGUGCUUGUGUGGGCUCUUCGGAUUCCUUAGGACACACAUCCGCAAUGGACAUGUUCCUUAGUGCGACACAUGGAGCCUCUUCAUCAUCUAUCUCAUCAAGAUCAACUUGCUCUACUUGAGAUCCAUUAGUCUCAUCAAACACAAUGUCACAAGAAACUUUAACUAGCCCCGUGGACUUGUUGAAGACUCUAUAUGCCCUUGUGUUUGAGUCAUAACCAAGUAAAAAGCCUUCUACAGCCUUAGGAGCAAAUUUAGAUUUUCUACCUCUUUUAACAAGAAUAAAACAUUGGCUACCAAAGACUCUAAAAUAUGAAACAUUGGGCUUUUUACCGGUUAGGAGUUCAUAUGAUGUCUUCUAGAGGAUUCGGUGAAGGUAGAGUCGGUUGAUGGCAUAACAAGCGGUGUUGAUUGCUUCCGCCCAAAACCAGUCUGAAGUCUUGUAUUCAUCAAGCAUGGUCCCUGCCAUGUCAAGUAGAGUUCUAUUCUUUCUCUCCACUACACCAUUUUGUUGAGGUGUGUAGGGAGAAGAGAACUCAUGCUUGAUGCCCUCAUCCUCAAGAAAGCAUUCAAUUUGAGAGUUCUUGAACUCUGUCCCAUUGUCGCUUCUAAUCUUUUUGAUCCUUAAGCUGAACUCAUUUUGAGCCCGUCUCAAGAAUCCCUUUCAGGUUUCUUGGGUUUGAGAUUUAUCCUGCAAAAAGAACACCCAAGUGAAGCGAGAAUAAUCAUCCACAAUUACAAGACAAUACUUACUCUCGCCGAUGCUUAUGUAAGCGAUCGGGCCGAAUAGAUCCAUGUGGAGUAGCUCAAGCGGCCUGUCGGUUGUCAUGAUGUUCUUGUGUGGAUGAUGAACACCAACUUGCUUCCCUGCUUGACAUGCUCUACAAACCCUGUCUUUCUCAAAAUGAACAUUUGUUAGUCCCAUAAUGUGCUCUCCCUUUAGAAGCUUGUGAAGAUUCUUCAUCCCAACAUGGGCUAGUCGACGAUGCCAGAGCCAACCCAUAUUAGUCUUAUCAAUUAAGCAAGUAUCAAGUUUAGCUCUAUUAAAAUCAACUAAGUAUAGCUGACCCUCUAAUACUCCCUUAAAUGCUACUGAAUCAUCACUUCUUCUAAAGACAGUAACACCUAUAUCCGUAAAAAGACAAUUGUAGCCCAUUUUGCAUAAUUGAGAAACAGAAAGAAAAUUGUAAUCUAAAGAAUCUACAAGAAAAACAUUGGAAAUAGAAUGGUCAGGUGAUAUAACAAUUUUACCAAGUCCUUUGACCAAACCUUGAUUUCCAUCCCCGAAUGUGAUAGCUCUUUGGGGAUCUUGGUUUUUCUCAUAGGAGGAGAACAUUCUUUUCUCCCUAGUCAUGUGGUUUGUGCACCCGCUAUCAUUGAUCCAACUUGAGCCCCCGGAUGCAUAAACCUACAAAACAAGUUUAGGCCUUAUUCUUAGGUACCCAAAUGGUCUUGGGUCCUUUCACAUUAGAAACAAGCACCUUGGGUACCCAAACACAAGUCUUGGAGCCCUUGUGUUUGCCCCUAAUAUAUUUGGCAACUACUUUGCCUGAUUUGUUAGUUAAAACAUAAGAAGCAUCAAAAGUCUUAAAUGAAACAUUAGGUUCAUUUGAUGCAAUAGGAGAUUUUUUUAGGCAAUUUAACAUGAGUGGAUUGCCGAGAACUAGAUGCCUCACUCUUAUACAUAAAAGCAUGAUGAGAGCCAGAGUGAGACUUCCUAGAAUGAAUUCUCCUAAUCUUAUGCUCGGGAUAACUAGCAGGAUAUAAAAUAUAACCCUCGUUAUCCUAAACCAUGGGAGCUUUUCCCUUAACAAAGUUAGACAAUUUUUUAGGGGCAUUAAGCUUGACAUUGUCUCCCUGUUGGAAGCCAAUGCCAUCCUUAAUGCCAGGGCGUCUCCCACUAUAGAGCAUACUUCUAGCAAAUUUAAAAUUUUCAUUUUCUAAGUCAUGCUCAUCAAUUUUAGCACUAAGUUGAGCUAUGUGAUCAUUUUGUUGUUUAAUUAAAGCUAGGUGAUCAUGGAUAGCAUCAACAUUAAUGUCUCUAUAUCUAGUACAAAUGGAAACAUGGCUAACAGUAGAUGUAGAGGGUUUACAAGCAUUUAAUUCAUCAAUCUUAGCAUGUAACAUGGCAUUCUCAUUUCUAAGAUUGGAAAUAGAAUCAUUGCAAACAUUUAAGUCCUUAGCCUUAGCAAUUAAAUUAUCAUUUUCAAUCUUAAGGCUAGAAAGAGAUUCAUUCAACUUGUCAAUUUUAGCAAUCAAACUAGUAUUAUCAUUUUUAAGGUUGACCAGAGAAUCAUCACAAACAUUUGAUUUCUCAAUCUUAGCAAUUAAUUUUGCAUUCUCAUUUCUAAGGUUGGAUAUAGUAUCAUGGCAAAUGCUAAGCUCACUAGUCAAUUUUUCACAUUUUUCUAUUUCCUGAGCAUAAGCAUUUUUAACCUUAACAUGCUUCUUGUUUUCUUUAAUAAGGAAGUCCUGUUGGCUAUCCAAGAGUUCAUCCUUCUCAUGAAUAGCACUAAUUAAUUCAUUCAAUUUUUCUUUUUGUUGCAUGUUAAGAUUGGCAAAAAGUGUGAGCAAAUCAUCCUCAUCAUCACUAGAGCUAGCCUCAUCACUAGAUGUUGCAUAUUUAGUAGAAGCUCUAGAUUUUACCUUCUUCUUUUUACCAUCCUUUGCCAUGAGACACUUGUGGCCGACGUUGGGGAAGAGAAGGCCUUUGUUGAUGGCGAUGUUGGUGGCAUCCUCGUCGGAGGAGGAGUCGGUCGUGCUUUCGUCGGAAUCCCAUUCUCGACAUACGUGGGCAUCGCCGCCCUUCUUCUUGUAGUACCUCUUCUUUUCCCUCCUCCUUCCCUUCUUGUCGUCGCCCCUGUCACUGUCACUUGAUAUAGGACAUUUAGCUAUAAAGUGACCGGGCUUACCACACUUGUAGCAAACCUUCUUGGAACGGGGUUUGUAGUCUCUCCCCUUCCUUUGCUUGAGGAUUUGGCGAAAGCUCUUGAUGAUGAGCGCCAUCUUCUCGUUGUCGAGCUUGGAGGCGUUGAUGGGGAGCCUACUUGACAUAGACUCUUCUUUCUUCUCCUCCGUCGCUUUGAAGGCGACAGGUUGCACCUCGGGUGUGGAGGUGGCGUCUCGCUCGAUGAUUUGUUUGGAGCCUUUGAUCAUCAAUUCAAAGCUCACAAACUUUUCUAUAACUUCCUUGGGAGACAUUAGCUUAUCUCUAAGAUCACCACGAAUUAAUUGAACUUGAGUAGGAUUAAUAAAAACAAGUGAUCUUAGAAUAACCUUGACCAUUUCAUGGUCAUCCCAUUUUGUGCUCCCGAGGUUGCGCACUUGAUUCACCAAGGUCUUGAGCCGGUUGUACAUGGCUUGUGGCUCCUCCCCUUGGUUGAGCAUGAAUCGACCGAGCUCCCCCUCGAUCGUUUCCCGCUUGGUGAUCUUGGUCACCUCAUCUCCUUCGUGCGCGAUCUUGAGCACAUCCCAAAUCUCUUUGGCACUCUUCAACCCUUGCACCUUAUUAUACUCCUCUCGAUUUAGAGAGGCGAAGAGUAUAGUAGUGGCUUGGGAGUUGAAGUGCCGAAUUUGGUCAACCUCCUCCGAAUCAUAGUCCUUGUCCCUUUUCUUCGGUACAUGCGCUCCAUACUCAACAAUAUCUCAUAUGCUUUUGUGGAGUGAGGUUAGGUGAUGCCUCAUUUUAUCACUCCACAUAGAAUAAUCUUCACCUUCAAAAAUCGGUGGUUUGCCUAAUGGGAUGGAAAGUAAUGGAGUGCGUUUUGAAAUACGAGGAUAGCGGAGGGGCAUCUUACUAUACUUCUUGCGCUCAUGGCGCUUAGAAGUGACGGACGUCGAUUCGGAGCCGGAUGUGGAGGGUGACGAAGAGUCGGUCUCGUAGUAGACCACUUUCUUCAUCUUCUUCUUCUUGUCAACUCUCCGUUGUGACUUGAUGGAGGAAGAGGAUUCCUCCUUGUGCUUGUGGCUGGACUCCCUUGAGUGGCUUCUCCCCGAGCUUGCGGACUAGUCGCCGCCGGUCCCGAUCUCCCUCUUGGCGGAUGCUCCCGACAUCAGUUCGAGUGGUUAGACUCUAAUGAAGCACUAGGCUCUUAUAACAAUUGAAAGUCGCCUAAAGGGGGGGUGAAUAGGCAAAUCUGAAAUUUAUAAACAUUAAGCAGAACUACAAGCCGGGGUUAGCGUUAGAAAUAAAGUCGAGUCCGAAAGAGAGGGCGAAAACAAAUCACAAGCAAAUGAAAGCGGAUGACAUGGUGAUUUGUUUUACCGAGGUUUGGUUCUUGCAAACCUACUCCCCGUUGAGGUGGUCACAAAGACCGGGUCUCUUUCAACCCUUUCCCUCUCUCAAACGGUCACCUAGACCGAGUGAGCUUUUCUCCUUAAUCAACGGGUCACUUAGACCCCUUACAAGGACCACCACAACUUGGUGUCUCUUGCUUGAUUACAAGUUGCUUGAGAACAAGAAUGGAGGAAGAAGAAAAGCGAUCCAAGCGACAAGAACUCAAAUGAACAUGAAUAUCUCUGUCUCACUAGCCACUAAGUGUUUGGAGUGAAUUUGGACUUGGAGAGGAUUUGAUCUCUUGAUUUGUGUCUUGGAGUGAAGUCUAGAGCUCUUGUAUUGAAUGCAAUGGCUGAAAACUUGGAUGCCUUGAAGUGUGGUGGUUGGGGGUAUUUAUAGCCUCAACCACCAAAAUGGCCGUUGGGGAGGCUGUCAGUCGAUAGGCGCACCGGACACUGUCCGGUGCGCCAGCCACGUCACCCAACCGUUAGUGUUCGACCGUUAGAGUUCUGACAGUCUGGGCUACCGGACAGUCCGGUGUGCCUUCUGGCAUCUGCUCUGACUCUGCGCGAACUGUCCGCGCACUGUAGCGCACUGUUCACCUUUUGCAGACGACCAUUGGCGCUGUAGCCAUUGCUCCGCAUGGCACACCGGACAGUCCGGUGAAUUAUAGCGGAGUGGCUUUUCCAGAAACCCGAAGGUGGCGAGUUCGAGUUGAUCCACCCUGGUGCACCGGACACUGUCCGGUGCGCCAGACCAGGGCAGUCUUCGGUUUCUUUUGCUCCUUUUUUUUGAACCCUAUCUUGGACUUUUUAUUGGUUUGUGUUGAAUCUUUGGCACCUGUAGAACUUAUAAUCUAGAGAAAACUAGUUAGUCCAAUUAUUUGUGUUGGGCAAUUCAACCACCAAAAUCAUUUAGAAAAAGGUUUGAGCCUAUUUCCCUUUCACACGCGCGACAGGUGAGAAAACUAAAUAGGUGACACGCUUAUACUAAACAAAUGUUAAAUAAAUAGAAAGUAGUUAAGUUAAUAUUUACCAUGUUAAUAUUUAUUAUAAAAUCUCAAGUGGAACACUACACAUUUAAUCUAGUUAGAAUAUUAAUCUAAUAAAUAUUAGUGAAACGAACUUUAAGUUAAUUAUCUAAAAUAUAUAACAUGAUGAAUUAACCUUACUAACAUGAGUGUUUAUAAGCGAAAAACAAUUUAUUAUCACAUGCAGACGUCGCGCGACACACGCAAACAGCGCGUGCGACACUCGCGAACGACACGCGACAACAUGCGUGAAACAGCAUUGCGGCACGCGAGACAAUGCGCACGACAGCGCGCGACACACGUGAGUCAACGCGACUACACGCAAACGAUGUCGUGCGCGAACAACAACAAACAAAUAAUUAAUUACAGGUAUUUAAGCUGGUAUUAAUCAAGUUAAUUAACAUUUAUAUUUAUAAAAGCUCGAGUUAAAAACUACAACAUAGUUUUAGUUACAAGGUCGUUUUUUAAUAACUAUAUAAUACCGAAUCGGUAGAUAAUUAAUUAAUCAAUUAAACUUGCGACAUGACUAGAUAACAUUACUACUACAAAAUCGACGUUGCUACAGAGUUGACGCGACUGAAGCGAAUAAAAAAGGGUUUAUGGCGCAUUAUAUAUUGAAUAGCUAACAAUUUAUGGCUAAUAAACAAUUUUAUUAAAGUGCUCGAAUCACGACUCGCGCGAACGACGACACGUGAACAACAUGCGCGAACGUCGUGCGGAUAGAACAUGCGAGAAUUACUAACUAAAUGUUGUUUUUAUACUAAACACUAAAUAAAUAUUAAAUACAACAUCUAAGUUGUUAAAAUCACAUUACCACAUAUUUACAAUCGCAUAACUAAAAUCAUAAUUUUGAUCCGAUUGAAUAUUCAAUUUAAUGACCGCCAACUAAGUAGGAAAUUAAUUAUCGCAGGGGGAUAGACGCGGGAUUCUCACCUUGCGACGACGGCGGACGGUGAGGCAAGUCGACGACGUGCUGUGCGCACGACGUACAACACGAGCGACGGUGAGGCUGCAGCUACGCCACAUAGACUGCACCAGGGUUGCCAUGGGCACAUCGCGUAGGCUACGCCGAGCGAGCCAUGGCGUAGCUGCCGCGGGCAAGCUGCGCAGGCUGCCAUGGGAAAGCCGCGAAGGCCGCCGCGCAAGGCCGCGAACAGCCGCGUCGGGAGUACAGGGCUACACUACGGGCGACCAGGCUGCAUCGGAGGGAGCGCAGGGGGCGGAGUAGGCUGGCCAUGGCUGCUCGACUGCCGGGAUUGGAAGGGGAGGGAGGAAAAAAAGGUAGACGACGAGGAGGCGAAGAUGGGCAGCACGGCACCAACGGAUGGCACGAUGGCGGAGGUGAGCGGCGUGCUGGCCGUUUUCCUGGCUCAAGGCAGGAUGUGGGGAGACGGGGCGCAGUUUUGCGCGAGAGAUGGGCAAAGGGGCACGUCGUGCGGCGUUUGUGGGCAGGCCAUGCAGCGCAUGCAAACAGCAUUCAAGGGAGCAGUUUUCCGGGUUUUUUUGGGUCGUGGGCGCUGCUCAUGCUGCAUGUGCGGCUGGGCGACCGAGCGAGCGUGGACGGCAGCGGGGAAUGGGCCACGCGCGCGCAUGGGUCAGGGGCGCGGAGGCAGCGGCUGGGGCGCGCUGGGCUACGCGGGCGCCACACGCUGGGCCGUGGAGGGGCGCGAGGCGGCCUGGGCAAGGGUGGGCUGCGCGCGAGAGGUGGGCCGAGGGGGCGUGUUGCGCUGGUGCGGCUGCCUGGGCUGAGGUGGGCCACGCGCGCGCUGCUGGGCAGCGGUUGCGCGUGGGCCGGGGCAGGCCAACGGAGUGGCGCUGGGCCGCGGGAGGGGAGCUGGCACUGGGUGGGCUGGUAGGGGGAAAGGGGAGGAAAGGGUUUUCGCUUUUCUCUAUUUUCCUUAUUUCUUUUGCUAUUGUGUAUUUAGGUCUUGGUUUAUAAAUUUUGAAAUUCAAAUGAACUUUGAGAAUUUUGAAUGAGUGCCAAGUCACCACAUAUGAACAUACCAAGGAGACUGCUAUUCCGACUGGCUAUGUAACAAACAAUGCCCCUGUAGGGUUUUACUAUACUAGGCUUACACAUCAAUAUAAAAAAUAAUUCUUCACUAUUUAGAAAAAGAAAAGAAAAGCGAGGAAUGAGAGGGUAACACCUGACGAGUAUGUGGAGUCUGUGAAGUCGCAUGUGGUGUCUACUGAGCAGGAUGUUGCGCCCCUCCAGGAUGAGCUGGUGUACCCUAGGGUGGAACAUAGCGAGGACAGAUGCUACUGCUCCCCUACCCCUGGGUGAUAGCCUUCCUCUUCAUCUUGCCCAGCUGAACACGUUUGUGUUCAACAACUAUAGCCUUGUCGAGAAGCCUCUGGAAAGAUGGGAAGGUGUGAGAUACCAGUUGAUACUGAAGUGGCCCAACAAGUCCCUCCAUGAAAUGCUCCUGCUUCCUUUCAUCAUCAGCAACCUCAUUUGGAGCAUACCUUGUUAGCUGAAUAAAUUUAUCAUGAUAUUCACUUACUGACAUGUUGCCUUGCUUCAGUGAUAAGAAUUCCUUCUUCUUUAUUUUCAUCAGGCCAGCAGGAAUAUGGUAGUUUCUGAAUUGUGUAGAAAAUUCUACACAGGUAAUAGUGUUGGUAGCAGCAUGGGCAGCAAUGUAGGAGUCCCAAUAAUCAGCAGCGGGGCUAGUGAGAUGAUCCGAAGCAUAGAGCACCUUCUCCCGAUCAGUGCAUUGAGCGAUAUUAAGCAUCUUCUCCACUGAUUUCAGUCAAUCAUCAUCAUGUAGAGGAUCUAUAGAGCUGGAGAAUGUAGGUGGCUUGUGACUCAUGAAUUCUCGGUGCUUGUCCCAGGGUGGAGCUGGUGGUGGUGGUGGAAGUAGUGGUGGUUGUUGCUGCAGUUCCAAUCGUUCUUGCCUCAUCUCUUCUCGCAUCUCCUGCCGUUCCUGACACAUCUCCUGGCAUUCUUGCCUCAUCUGAGCUUGCAUUUCAUUCAUCGUGUUUGCUAUCUGCUGUAGCAGCUGCAUCUGAGCGGCAGCCACUGGAUCUGUCCCAACCGGUGGAGGGUUUGGUGGAGAACUCAUCUCUGGUUGCGGUUGGUUGAUAAUCCUCCAGCUAUGGUGGUUGGCAGGUAGAUCAAUUCUGCCUCCCUUCCUGGUAUUGACCAUCUGAGUUAGAAACACGUGGUAAGAUAGAAUUGUAGAGAAGACAAGUCAUUACGAGACAUGAUCUUUUGGGGGUUUUAUUAGCUCAGUUUAUUAGUGUGUCACCUACUAAUACUAAUAUAUUACCUUAUGGUGGUACAUGCUAGAAUGCCCUGCUAUACUAUUUCAGUCAAUCAAAGAAGCAAAUCAUGCAUUUAUCAUCAGAACAAACAUCCAAACACUUUAUAUAUAUAUAUAUAUAUAUAUAUAUAUAUAUAUAUAUAUAUGUGUGUGUGUGUGUGUGUGUGUGUGUGUGUGUCUUAGGUCUCCUAUCUCUUUAAGAGGUCUUAGAUGUAGGAUUGUAAGGUGUGGAAUCCUUCUUUUCUUUCUAGAGUAGAAAAGAUAAGAAUAGUCAGAGUAAAACAACAAAAGGUGAGACAGGAUCAAGAUAAGUAUAGAAAGAAUCAGAGUAAAGGUUAAGUAGGUAAGAGUUUUGUCCAGUUCUAUCUAGGUUUCAUCGUACAGUCAACAUUUGCUCUGAUACCAAUUCUAUCACACCCGGAAUUAAGGGAUAAAGCCAGGUGCGUCUCAUAUGUGUACCAAAGAAGAACAUCACAUAUAAUGACAAAGUGUAUAGAGAUAAAUGUCACAAUCAUUAUUACAUAGCGGAAGAGUCUUACAAAAAUAAAUGAUAACAAUAAAACGAACUAAAUAAUUAUUCCUUGAGACCAUCAAGCUGACUGGGAGACGCCACCUAGAUUAGCUCAUACUCCUCAUUGUAGGCCUCCUCCUGGACCACUUGUUCUUCUCCUGUGGGGGGGUUAUAUAUCACAAGGGUUAGCUCACAAAAGAUCAUAGCUCAACAAGUUGUGGGGAAUAAUAUGCAUGAACUCAUCAAAGGUGGGAGUUCAUGUGGAGUGUAUGGCUGAUCAACAAAUAAUGGUUAAAGUUGUGCAUUGCUUUUAAUAAGUUGGUCAAAUUUUAUUAGUAGUUACUACAUGUAAGUAUAUACCGAACCAGAGUAAUAAUAUAUCAAAAUUGAUAAUAAACCACAAUACGAUGUAAAUGACCAGUUACAUUUAAUUCCAUAAGUUACUCAUGUGAGGGUCCAAGCCGCUCAUGACUGUUAGCACGGCUGAUAUAGUAAUUUUACACUCUAUAGAGGUUGCACAUCUUUACCCACAAGUCGUGUUACCCAUAUGCCAAGGGGUCAUGAAUCUCAUACACCUCUACCAAGGAAGCAAGGCAGGGUAACACUAUGAGGCCUUUACAAAGUUCCACUAGCUUCAGAAAACCCGUUAUAGUUUCUAGGGAGCGCAGCAUAGGAAUCCCUCGUCUGAAAAGCCAUCACAACAAAAUCAACCCGAGAACCUCCCGAUACCAACCACUCCCCUACUACCCUUACCCCUUUGGGGUAAGGUAGUCCUCCACUAGCUUUCCUAAUUAGUCAACCAAGGGUGUCCCAUACCACCCUUGUGGUAGCACUGUUUUCCUGGGUGGUCGCUCCAUGUUCCAAUUAACAUAAUGAUCUUGUCAUGAACAGUAAAUAACAAAUUGAUAAUAACAGCAUGAUCAUGAAUAAUGUGUAUCUUAACACCCAAAACCACAUAAAGCAAUAGAAGGUACUACCCAAAAAUUCAGUGGUAAACAUGGUAUAAAGAUAGCUAAACUAGGGUGACCUAUUGGGUCCCAUCAAAUUUGAUCUAUGCAGAUCAUAAUGAUUAACAGGAACAUUAUUGGGUAAAUAGAAGUCAUCAAGGGCACAACUUGCCUUCAACGAGCUCCUGCUCAACAGUUUCCACCUGCUGAGCUUCUGAGUCCUCAGUCACUUGCCCGUCUACUCGCAACAAUACAAGAAAACAUGGUACAUGAGAAAUUAACAUCACGCCAAACAUGAGAACAACUUGCAUCAUAAUAUUCUACGCAUCGUAACGAGAUCGUAGGUUUGUCACACCCAGGUUUUAGCGACCCGGGCGCGAACAUAAUCACCAGGUGUGCUAGGACCAAGUCUCACACAUAUGAUGAAUCAUGGUACGAAACGAAUGUUACAACUUUACUAUAUAAUAGGAGUUUCUAUACAAAAUAAAUAAAUAAUUACAUCAUAAGGAGACAACGAUCCAGCAACCCAAAGUUGACUGGGAGAUGACGGCCUAGACCUCUCACAAACACAUCACAACAUCUUUCAUGUUGGGGACUUGUUCUCAAAUGCUAUGAGUUAAGAACAAGGCAACUCAAAAAUGUUAAUGGUCAAAGACCUUCGUCCUUCGAAGCAUUAUCUCCCUUAGGAUAUAAUGAUCUUCAGACGAAGGUUAUGAAGGACAUACCUUAAUCAUCUCAGUAUGUAAUAAUGAAAGUAGGAACAUAAGAAACAUAGAAAAUAACAUGAAUAAUCACAUUAAAUCAUCAUAUUAUUCAUAUACUCAUUAUCCAAUCAUGGACAAAUAUUAACAACAGUAAAUUACAUUUGUACCUUCGGCUUGACAGAAGGUAAGAAAUCAAAUGCGACGUGCGAGUGAAAACAAGUCAGCGUGAACAGUACGGGGGUAUUGUUCAUCUAUUUAUAGGCAUGGGAUGCAGCCCGAACAAAAUUACAUUUGUGUCCUUGAUAACUAAUCACAACCAUGACACAAGUUAUCAUGGACUAAAUGGUCUUUUAAUCUUUAAGUCGGUGCUGCCCUUUGUCUUAAGGCACGUCGUCAUGCCGAAGCUCCCUGAAUUGUAGCUUCGGCUUAUACCUUCAUGUUGUGUCUGCUUGCAUAUCACCCUACCGAAGGUGUUUUUGCUUGGAGGACCUUCGGCGAAGAAGAAGGCCCCCAACACUUCAUGCACCUCAUCCUGCGGUACCUGUUCUUGACCUGUGGGGGGGUGUGAGACAGCAAGGGUGAGCUCACAUACGUUCAUAGCUCAACAAGUUGUGGGGAAUAAUGUGCAUGAACUCGCCAAAGGUGGGAGCUCAUGUGAAGUGUAAGGCUUACCAAAGAGAAUGGUUAAAGCUGAGCAUUGCUUUUAAAGUUGGUCAAAAUUUUAUUAGCAAUUACUAAAUGUAAGUAAAUACCAAACCAUAAUAAUAAUAGAACAAAAUUAAUAAUGAAUCCCAUGCAAUGCAAAUGAAAAAUUGAAUUUAGUUCCAUAAUUUAAUCAUGCGAGAGUCUUGACCUGCUCAUGACCGUGAGCACGGCUAGUAUACCAGUUUUACACUCUGCAGAGGUUGUACCCUGUACCCACAAGUCCUGUAUCCCAUGUCACCACGGUUUGCAAGGCCCUUAGACACUUCCGAGGUGAAUGGCUAGGGAUCCACUACAAGGCCUUUACAAAGUUCCACUAGCUUCCGAAAACCCGCUACAGUUUCUAAGAAGAACAAUGUAGGAAUCCCUCAUCUGACCGCCAUCAUAGACAACCUCCCUACAAGCCUACUCCCCUACUGCCCUUGCCCCUUUCAGGUAAGGUAGUCUUGCACUAGCUUUCCUAAUUAGUCAGCCAAGGGUGUCCCAUUUCACCCUUGUGGUGGCACGUGUUUCUCAAGUUAAGCUCCAUGUUCCAAUUAAAAAUAAUGAUCUUGACAUCAAUUAUAAAUAAAAUAAAAGAAUAAUUGGAACAUGGACAUAAUGUAAUAUUAAACCCAAAAUCAUAUAAAGCAAUAUCAAAAGUACCCAAAUAGUUCAGGGGUAAACAAGGUAACAAGAUAUCCAAACUAGCGUGACCUAUUGGGUCCCAUCAAAAUUAAGCCUAUGCAUGAAUAAGUGAUAAUAAAGAACAUUAUUGGGUAAAUAGAAGUGGUCAAGGGCACAACUUGCCUGGGACUUGAGAUUCCAUGUACCAGGAUGAUCCUCAGAUUCUCGUGACCUCACUGCUAGUCGUAGCAAUACAGACAAACAUGGUAUAGGCAAAAGUAACAUCACAUCAAACAUAAGUACAAACUGAAUAAUAAUGAUCUACGCGAUGCUACGAGAUCGUGGGAAUGAGAAUCACUAAAUUCGGAGUUACGGUUAUAAAGUUAUGGUUUAUGGAAGAUCUACGUGAUUUAAAUAUUAAACUAUAUUAUGAAUUGAUUAGGGUACACCAUAUGAGAGAAUAUUUUAUAAAUAGUUAACUCAACUUUAAUCUAAGUCAUUACUUUAUUAUAAAUCAUCUUUUAGGCCAAAGAUAACCCUAAGAUCAUGAUACUAUAUUAAUAUUAGACUAGGUAUAUGCCCGUGCAUUGCUACGGAAUCAAUAUGAUAAAAUCCAUAGAUAUGUAAAAACACUAAUUGUUAUUCUAUAUUCUUGCUAGCAUCACUCAUAUUGGAUGUUUACAUACUUAAAAGAUAUAACAAAGUGUCUGUUCAUUGCUAUAGAGAUGAGUGUGAAAGUGGUUUCAAGGAAACAACCAUACAAUGCAAUACUAAAAUAGAAAAUAACAAUUAAAAAUCUACAACAAAACAUAACGUAAAGAUAAAUAAUGUAUGAAACAUGCCAUCGUGGAAUAACAUCUUUACUCUUUGACUCUUUGUUGAUGGUUCCAAGUGCAGGAGUACUUGGAGAACUGAUCCUAAGUCUCUGACCAUCAGAAAGACGCACUACCGUCGAUCAGUUUCAACGAUGCAGAAAAAGAAAUGACGAAAGAAACAUAGGCUGCAUGAAACUUCAGUAGAGAAAAUGAUGUUAGAAACAUAGCAUAAAAAGUGAAUUAAUCUUGUCAGCAGCUGCUUGUAGCGUGACAUGGUCACCCCAUUCACCAUACCUAGAAAAGAUUAUUUUCAAUAAUACAACAGUCAGAAAAAUCACAAAUUCAGGGAUUUCUAUUAUUGAAGCGGCAAAGUUAAUAUAGUAAUAUCCAUACUUCUUCAUUUUCUUGCAAUAAUGUUUAUAUUUCAUUGGAACGUAACCUUCAUAUAAGGAGUUACAUUCCUUGAGCUACAAAAAGAGAAAAACAACACAUAUAAGCAUGCAGGCCUCUCAGGAAUGAAAAAAUAUUAGACCAAUGGUUAGAAAAUUAUGUUUCUGAAUACUUCAUAUGUUCUUUUUUCGAUAGGAAAUGUUUUAUUUGAUUUUGUUCUCAAAUAGAAUGAGCCUGAUAAGUUGCUUAGGACAAUAAGGCUUUGUUAUUGUUGUUGCUGUAUCAAAGAAAUACUGAAAUAGAAUGGGCAUGAGUUGGUGUACCUGACAAUUUCCAUCACCAGAUACUCUCACCUCAAACAAGCUGUAUGCAUUUAGCCUACAAAGAACACUUAAUCGUGAACACGUGUUGACGUUUUAUCUAUAACCAAAACAGGCACAAGCUACAAGAGACUGACGUUCCAUAUCCCCAAAAGAGUUGAAAGAAAUUUAAUAUCUAAAAGGGAAAAAUUGGAAAUGCAGUUUUUGUGUUGUACAAUUAUCGCUAUCAAGGAAGAAAAAAGAACCACAAAGUGUAGGCUGAAAAUUAUAUAACUUUAGUGGACACACACACACAAGGGAAAAGAAAAAGAAAAGUGUAUGCAGGGAAAAAGAGAGAGGCCUAGCUGAACAAAGUUAACUUUAAAAGAGAGGAACGAUGAUUUGCAUAACUUGUUUAUAUCCACAUUUAUCUACAAUACUCUCAUGAUGUCUGUGAUGGCAUUUCAAAUAUCUUUCUCCACAAACACAACUUGCAUCCAUUCCCAAGUAUUCAAGCAUGCAUUUAACAUAUGACAUGAUAAAAUAUCCACAUGGACUUAAAUUGAUGUUCCAUGUAUGUAAUACUCAAUUCUGCAUGUAUGGGAUGACAAUGGCCUCUCAAAUGUACAACUAUAUAUGUACAGUAGAGGCACUGAUAUUGCGCUUGAAGCACAUGGACCUAUGAUGAUUAAAUAGAAAACUUGAUGGCUUACCUCAGGUGCCAAUGGGCAAAGACCAUCUUUUCUUUUCAAGUCUGAGUCAAUCACUUUUUCUUUCCACCAUGGAUAAGCAUACCUGAAGCCAAGAGCAGUUCAGAGCAUGUCACUUCAACAAAAGAAAUAAGUAGAGGAAAUUUCACUCUAGGUUAAAGGCACAAUUCCAAAUAUAUUGAAACAAACAACUGGGUUUUAACAAACUUACCAUAGGAAACAAUCUAGGGUUAUAGGCUGAAAAGUAACACAUUUGGUUAUCCCUGAUCAUGUUAAUCCAUAUUUUUUACCAACCACACUAACAAUAGAUAUGAUGAUAAGGGGCCCAGCCCAGAUGAUAGAUGAAAACUAUAGAACAAUCAAACAAUUCCUACUGGUAAAGCUCUUCCAGUUCUUUCCCAGGUAUCUGUCUAUCUUUUCAGCUAGAUACACUUCUGAAUCUACAUAGGUAAACCAUGAACCUCAUUAGAACCAAAUUCCCAUUCUUCAAAAACUCACUGUAAUUUAGUGUUGCAAGAUAAUGGGGAUGUAACAAGUCUAGUAAUUAAUAUAUCCAUGAACUUUGCAAUCCCUGCAAUAAUAGGUGUUCCAUCAGUGUCUAUCCCACCUACUAUUCUAGCCUGCAAAAUGAAAUUGAGGAUCAAUGUAACACCCCUGGUGUUACUGCCACUAAAACUUGAGCAUAACAUCAUAAGCAUUGGCAUAUCAUGUGAUUGUUACACUUAGAAUGCAUUCACUAGGCAAAAUGUUCAAACAUGUUGUAUUGAUGGGACAUGCUUUAAAUAAACCCUAGGGUACAGUGCUUAACCCUAGAUUGGGCUUAAUAGAGCAAACAAGGCCUAAUAAGAGAAAACUUCAAAACUUGGUUAAAAUGAUCAUAAAAUGUCACCAAGGAUGAACUUAAGUAACAUCCAAACCCUAGAAGUAUCAAAAACCCUAAAAAGAACCCUGGAAAGCCCUAGACUAAAACCCUAGGGGGUUAAGUGCAAAACUAGUGCACUUUUGGAUUAAAGUGCAAAAACCAUGAAAAUAGGGUAUCUUAACUCGUAAGAUUCACAUGUGUGUGUGGAUUUGCAACUUAAACCCUAAGUUUUGGGCCUAUUUGCAAAAAGCCCUAUUUGAACUCUAUUGGGAUUAAGUCUGAAAUUCAGAAAAUUGGCUCCACUUUGAAGCCUUGUAACUUCCAAAUUAUGAGGAGUUUGCCCUAGAUCAACACAUCAAACCUAUAGAGCUAUGUAAGGAGAACAUUUUUUAUUAAGUAAGUAAGCCCUAGUGCUACAUGAAAGUAAGAUAAAAACAGACCUGAAGAUGGUCUGUCAGUCGAGCAUAACCCUAAAAUCAGACUGACAGUGGCCUAGAACUAGGUUUGAGAGCCAUUUUGAGCUAGAUCUGUUGCUCGAUUGAUGGUUGUUGCUAUAGCAUAAUUGUAGCUGGUAUGAAAGGCUGCAAGUUUGCUACUGGCGAAUUAGCAAGUUCUUAUGUAGAAAUCUGUGUUCUGGACGCUACAAGUUGGGCUGUCAGGGGCGCUGAAUUGCGUUUCCGAUGGUACAGUAUCCCGAUCGGAUCGCCAGCUCAGUCCCUCGCCGCCGAUGAGCCGCGCGCGGAUUCGGGUUAUCGCCGCCAUGAUUCACGCUCAGAACAGCUGGAUAGCGCCGGGGGUCAGUAAAUAUCACACCGUGGAUAUGCUCCGGCCACUAAAUUACUCCGACCACCGUACCCGAGCUAGUUACGGUUGCUUCGGAUGGGUUCGCCGGAGAUUGCCACCUCGUGGUCUUGUACCACGUGCCCAGGCAUCUUACCACGUCGCGGUUAGUCAUGUUAGGCAUAUCUGGUGAUCGCCAGAAGGACCGCCACAGUGAAAGCCACUAAGCGCUUGCGCCAGUGCCCCUCUUCCUCUCCGGCCGCCGCGCGUCUUCAUCCAAUUCACCGGCCACCGCUCACGGACUCUAUAAAUUGAGCGCACUGCGAGCUCCAUAGGAUAAUUACGCAUCCAUAGCACCCACGCUUGCCUCCAAUCUUUCACCAGAGACCGUGCAUUGCUCGUUGCCCCCAAUCUCCGUUUCCGCCACCGUAGAAACACCCUGCCGAGGCCAGCUUGCUCCAGGUCCGUUCAUGCUCCCUGUUCUCUCGUUUUAGCAUGCUUGUGUGUCCCUGUUGCUCCUCGACCCCUCCAAUUGAGCUAGAGUCCCUAGGAUCGCCGGGAACGGGCUUGGUUAACCGUGGUGUCCGCUGUCACCGUGGGCAGGGCGUGUUAUUGCGCCAAUGGUGAAAUUAGUUGGGGGGAAAUGCUCCUUAGGACUGGAAUUAGGUGUAGACCAAAGAAGAGCAUCGGUCAUUGAGUAAUUCGACCGGUGUGCGCUCGCCAGAGCUCGGCUCCCCGCCGUUCACCGUCGUGGACCUCGGCGUGCGAAGAAACAGAACUUGGGGGAGGUUUCUAUAAACUGUCAGUGACUCCAGGAAUAGUGCUGCAGCCCCACUUCUGGUUAUUCAAAACAACGAGGGCAUAUUCGCAAAGUCUGUACGCGAGCGCGCGCGCGGGCGUGCUUUCCUCCAGUAUUGGGUCGACUUGGGCCGGUUUUGGUCCAAUACUGUUCAUGUCUUUUCUUUUUCCUUUUCUGCCAGAGCUAAAGAAAUUCUAGAAAAUUGUAGAAAAAUGAUAAAAAUACCAAACCAAUUUUUGCUAGGUUUCUAAUUUCCUAUAGUAUUUAAUAAAAAUAGUUUCAUGAUUUUUAAUCCAAAUAGGAAAUUAUAGAGCAUUUAAAAUAGCCAAAAACCAUACUUCUGGAUUUUUAGGGAAUAAAUAAUAAAUCCAAAAUUCUCUAAACUUUUAGGGUAAACUCUAAAUAAUAUUUAGAAGCCUUGGGUAAAGUUUGAUAUGAUUUGGACCAUGUUUGAUACUUAGAACCCAAAACCAUAGCCCCUGCCCUAUGAACUUCACUAUUGACUCCGAAAACCCUAAGUUCUCGGAGAUCCGUGAAGGAAAGUUGUAUUCAAGACCAUAGAUAAUAAACUUUUAUUAUCUUUGCAUCUUCAUGAGCAUUCAUUAUUAUAUUUGGCUAUAUUUAGAAAACUAGGAGGAAGUAGAAGUUGAAGAGACAAGGACUUCAUCACCACCACCACAUGAAGAACAUCAGGCAGGCAACUGUUUUUAUUUUGAUAUCUACGGAACAAAGCCCGAUUCACCAGUAACACAAGGCAAGCCCCGGUGCAUUUGCCACCUCCUUGUUCGUUUUAAAACCUUUCUCACUUGCUUGAUGCAUUAGGUGAUAGGAGUUUUGUGCUAAACCAAUUCCUGCAUUUCCUUCCUUGGAUUUGAUUACUUCUCCCUAAGUCCCUGUUUUACAAAAGGUUUUUCUUAUGCUUAGCUUUGCUUUAGAAAAACAAAAUGUUUUGUUUUCACAAAAGAUGAUGUUGCAAAGUGGGUGGGAUGUUUUUCAAAAACAAAACUUGAUGGUGGAUCCAUCAUGGCCAUGAUGGGUUCAACAUCGGAAAAGAUGUACCUCUGCCAGGUACCAAACUUUGGGUUUGAAAUGAUUAAGCUGAGACCAGGUGGGUGACUUGCACGAGAAGAGAGUCUCGGUGUAGUGUCUCCGUCUCAGUCGAUUAAGGACCGUCUCGAUGUAGGCUUGCUGAUCGAGGACCCUUUAACUGGUCACAUGCCUCAUCAUGGGUAAGCUUUGCCUCGGGCAGACUAAUACCAGAAUAAGAUAACACACAAUGGAGUGGAGAGAUGGCGAGAGUAGCGUGUACCCUCCGUGGCAAGAUGCUGGACGGUGGUGUAUCUGUGCUCUCGGUUGGCGUGAACCUGAUCUGGUCUUAAGAACCCCGGUGGCGAGUUGACAUAUGCAAGGGUUAAGUGCUACAUAUGUCGUGCGAUUGGAGAUCCUCAGCUGAGUAUAAUCGAUUCGGAUCGCCGUAACUUCACGGAUAUGAAGACUUGGUCACUACCCUACACGUAGCAAUCUAGUGAAGAUUAAGGGUUGAUAAGAAAUUGGCUAGUAUAGGUCAAGUGAUUGAAUUAGGGUAGAAAGAACCCUAGCUGCAGGUAAUUUUACUUAACCUGACAAAUAAAACUGGAUUUUAAGGAUCCACUAUUAGUAAGCAUUUCUGCAAACAGAGUCAUUGAUUAUUGAUAAGCCUUACCUUGACUCCCUUAAAGCCAGCAUAUCCUUGAGAGUCUUUUACUUUGACGGGUAAGUCUUGCGAAAGUACACUUCGUACUCAGGGCUUUGUCCCAUGUUGUUUUAGGUGAAGAAGCAGCAAACUUUUAUUGCUUCUGUUCCAAGGUGGUACCAAAAGAAGAGAAUCAAGACUAAAGCUACGGGAGGAAAGGUCCUCUGUUAAGAAAACUUUUACUGUUUAUUUGGGAGGGGUUUUUGCCUCCCAUGUUAUGUAAUAAUAAUACUCUGCACUCUUAUAUUUUGUUCUGGUCUGUAACUAUAUAACUCUGUCUUACUUUUCAAUAAAGUAAGUUAUUGUAACUGCUUCCGCAUUUCUGUAUCUCCGAUGUAUUGUAAUGUCUGCGUGACGGGUGAAACGCUCUUGGGAAAGGUAAGGAGUUCAGAUACCGAACUUGUCAAGUGAUCGGGUGCACCUGUAGGGUUGUCUAAGGUCCGUUGAACAAGGACAACUGUAGGUGGGCCUAAUGACUUGGGAGGUUUCGUCACAGCUGGUAUCGGAGCGAAGCCCAUCUCUACAUAUAUUAUGAGGCAUUUUCAAAAAGAAUUUUCAAAGACUUAUCUAGAAAAUUUAUUUCCUUCUUAUCUAACCAUCUUCAGAAGUACUUACUUUAAAAGACUAGAUAGUAGAGUGCAAUGUAUAGAAGGUGUGAAUCAACUAAGGUUGAUUCUGUAAUUACACAUACAUCAUGCUAAAAACUAUGCUAAUAAGAUUUUCCCCUCAUGGAGAUAUGCCGUCGCGCACAAGAAAGACUGCGCGCAAGUCUACCGGACCCAUUGGCGUACCCCGCCAUCAACUAGCCCCACAACAGCAGUGGUAGCAACAAUCCAAUCGGGGAUCUGGAAGCCCAAGUUGAACAGCUUCGAUCAGAGCUCCGUCACAAGAACGAUAUAUGGGUCGCGGAUGGUGAGAGGAUAAAUGAAUUGAGAACUGACAUCUGCCACCUGCAAGACCAACUUGCUGAACGAGAUCUAGCGCUCGACUGGGCUGUUAACUCUCAUUCACUUGCUUGGGCCAAGGAAGCUAGAGCUCGAGCCCGCGUGGAGGAGCUUAGCUCAGCCGUGGAUAACUUGCAGGUUUAUUGUAAUACACUACAUGAGGAAGUUCAUGUAUUGUAUUCACAAUUACACCCUAACGUACAUGCGGAUCCUGUCAGGAUGGAAGCUGGACCUUCUAGAGUAGCGAGAGAAGCACUUGUUGGUGAACUGGUCCUUUUCAGGCCACCUCCCUCUAUGAAGCUGGUUGAUGAAUGGUCUCCUACACGCGACAGCGAGGCUACCAAAAGUGACAAGAAGCUAGAGUAGUGUAGUAUACAUAAUGUGUAAUAGGUAAUGUAAUCCUGUUGUAAAUACGAGUCUGUAUCAUUACCUUUUUAAGUAAUGUAAAAUGUUGGUUUGCUUUGGCAUAUUAUAUUUUCCCAAAUGUUCAUUGCCUCAGAUGCCGUCCAAGACUCGCGCACAGGAUGGGGCAGGAACCUCCCGUGGGAGGGAAACAACCCCUAAUCCACCGCCAGUACCUCCAACAUUAGCUAAGGCCAUCGCUGCCUUAGUUAAUGCCACAGCUGAUAACACUCGCUUUCUGCAGGAAAUGGCGGGACAACAAAUGCAGCAGCAAGGCGGGCGAGCGUAUCCGCAAGGACCCCACGAAACUUCAUAUCUGGAUUUCUCAGAGAUACGUCCCCUAUUAUUUGUCAAGGCGGAAGAUCCUCUGGAAGCGGAUGAGUGGAUCCGCGUUAUCGAACAAAAGUUCGGGCUUCUCCGAUGUACGGAGACUCAAAAGCCCUUGUUUGCGGUGCAACAAUUGCGAGGCCCAGCUAGCACAUGGUGGGGAAAUUAUGUAGCCGUCCAGCCGGCCGACCAUCAAAUUACAUGGGACGAGUUCAAAUUGGCUUUCCGGGAGCACUAUAUACCUGAAGGGGUACUCCAUAUGAAGCAGGAGGAGUUUAUGAAGCUCAAACAGGGUGGGGAUACUAUCACUCAGUAUCUCAAUAAAUUCAACCACUUGUCCCAAUAUGCUAUCGAUCAAGUCAACACUGAUUUAAAGAAGAGAAAUUGCUUCAUGAGAGGCCUUAAUGAUCGAAUGCAACGAAAGAUGGCCACCUACAUUGAUCUUUCUUACGGAUGGCCUGUCAGCACGGCGUUAGCAGUUGAGGCCAAAUAUGCAGGCUCAGGAAAAUCAAAGGGCAAUGGAGGCGACAGGCCCAAUCAGGGGCCUGAGAAAAGACAAAGGUUGGUAAUCCGACCUUUUAAUCAGAAUCGUUCUUCAUCGCGCCCACCCUCCUACCCUUUCAAAUAACUGGUUUUUAUCUGUCCUACCGCUACCCCCACCUCCACAAAUCAACCGGGUGCCCCGGGUACUCGUUUCCUCGCUCUCCCAAGCUCUUCAACAGGCUGCUUUAAUUGUGGAAAGUCCAGACAUUUUAUCAAGGACUGUCCAUACCCGAAGCAGAAUCGAUCAAAUAAUCAGCAGAGUUCCGGGAGUGCCGCUCAAGUCAAGGGAAAUGCGGCAAACAAUACCGCGGGCAAAAAUAUGAGGAAAAUAAGGUGGAUUUAUUAUACUCAAGUGGCCACAACACCGGAAGGCGAACCGGUUAUGAUGGGUACAUUUCUCGUGGCCAAUCACCCUACAGUUAUUCUUUUUUAUUCUGGCGCUUCACGUAAAUUCAUAAGCAAGAAGUUUGUGGAGCAACAUUUUAUUCCAUACCAUGAAUCAAGGGAAGGGUAUAUAAUUCAUUCGCCUGGGGGACAAAUAUUUACUAAAGAAGUGGCUUACCAUGUGCCCGUAACAUUGGCUGAACGGGACUUUCCUACAAACAUGAUUGUUCUAAAAGGCCAAGAUAUAGAUGUAAUUUUGGGCAUGAAUUGGUUAGCCCAGCAUAUAGCAAUCCUCAACACUGAUCUGAGAACCAUCAGGUUGAGUUAUGGCCAAGAAGAGGUUCUUUUGUCUAUCCCCAUAGCUAUUCCAGCUAAACCGUGUGGCAGAGUAUAUGAAGCCAUCAUACCGGAGAUCCAAGAUAUUCUAGUAGUAUCUGAAUUCCGGACGUCUUCCCGGAAGAUUUGCCUGGAUUGCCUCCAGAAAGAGAUGUAGAAUUUGUGAUUGAGUUGAAGCCUGGUACGGCUCCUAUUUCUAGAAGGUCGUACUGAAUGCCUCCGAAUGAAUUGGCAGAACUCAAGACCUAAUUACAAGAUCUACUUGAAAAAGGAUUCAUCCGACCAAGUUCAUCACCUUGGGGUUGUCCAGCCAUCUUUGUCAAGAAGGACCAAACACUACAAAUGUGCAUGGAUUAUAGACCCCUUAAUGAGGUCACCAUCAGGAAUAAGUACCCUCUUCCCCGGAUUAACAUUCUAUUUGAUCAACUUACCAGAGCUUGGGUAUUCUCCAAGAUUGACCUCAGGUCGGGUUAUCAUCAGAUCAGUAUCUGACCCGAAGAUAUACCAAAGACCGCAUUCACCACGCGGUAUGGAUUAUUUGAAUAUCUGGUUAUGUCUUUCGGACUAACAAAUGCUCCUGCCCACUUCACAUAUCUAAUGAACUCGGUAUUUUUGCCCGAGUUGGACAAAUUUGUGGUGGUAUUCAUUGACGAUAUCUUAAUAUACUCCAAGAAUGCAGAGGAGCAUGCUCGGAAUUUGCGGAUCAUAUUAACGCGCUUAAGGGAACACCAGUUAUAUGCUAAGUUCAGUAAGUGCGCAUUCUGGCUGGAGGAGAUCCAAUUUCUGGGACAUGUAUUAUCUGCCAAGGGGAUUGCGGUGGAUCCCAGCAAAGUCAAGGAUAUUUUGGAGUGGAAACCCCCAACCACUGUACAUCAGCUCCGAAGUUUCCUUAGACUGGCUGGUUAUUACCGUCGAUUCAUUCCAAAUUUUUCCAAGCUUGUGAAACCAAUCACAAGUUUAUUGAAGAAUGACACCAAAUUCAAUUGGUCUUCGAAAUGUAAUGAAGCCUUUGAGCAGCUGAAAGUAUUAUUGACCACUGCUCCGGUAUUGGAUCAACCGGACAUCGAAAAGCCCUUUGAUGUGUAUUGUGACGCAUCAGGCAGUGGUCUCGGCUGUGUUCUAAUGCAAGAGGGCCGAGUGAUAGCUUAUGCUUCAAGGCAGUUGCGCUGGCAUGAGGAACAUUAUCCAACUCAUGACCUAGAGUUAGCUGCGGUGGUUCAUGCCCUAAAAAUAUGGCAUCAUUAUCUGCUGGGGAAUAUCUGUCACAUUUAUACAGAUCAUAUAAGUUUGAAGUAUAUCUUUACCCAGUCAGAGCUUAAUAUGAGACAAAGGAGAUGGCUUGAGCUGAUCAAGGACUAUGAAUUAGAGAUUCACUAUCACCCAGGCAAAGCUAAUGUAGUGGCAGAUGCGUUAAGCCGCAAGGCUUCCUGCCAUUGUUUGACGAUAGAAACUUCUGACAUUACUUUAUGCCAAGAAAUGGAGAAGCUAAACCUGGGAAUGAUUCAACAUGGAACUUCAAAUCACUUGAAACUUGAGUCAGUCAUCCUGCAAAGAAUAAUUGACGCACAAAGAAAUGAUGAGGGAAUGAAACACAUUCAUGAGAAAAUAAAGGCCGUUAAACUAACUGCUUCAGAAGAGAUGAUCAAGGUGUUGUAUGGUUUAACAACCGCAUAGUUGUGCCUAAGAAUGAGGAGAUCCACCAGCAAAUUCUAGAUGAAGCACAUCUUAGUCGCUAUUCUAUUCAUCCCGAAAGCACUAAGAUGUAUCAUGAUUUAAAACAGCAUUAUUGGUGGACAAAGAUGAAGAUUGAAAUUGCACGCUAUGUGGCAAGAUGUGACACUUGUAGACGUGUCAAGGCCAUACACAUGAAAGUUGCUGGUCCAUUACAAUCUUUACCUAUACCAACAUGGAAAUGGGAGAAUAUAAGCAUGGACUUUAUUGUGGGAUUGCCCAAGACAGCAAAAGGAUAUGAUUCUAUCUGGGUCAUUGUUGAUCGACUUACAAAGAUUGCCCACUUCCUUCCAGUCAGGGUAAAGUAUACAGUGGCCACAUAUGCAGAAUUAUAUAUUGCCCGUAUUCUCAGUUUGCAUGGUGUUCCAAAGACUAUAGUGUCGGAUCGUGGACCGUAAUUCGUAUUCAAAUUUUGGGAAGAACUUCACAAGGCUUUGGAUACUAAGUUGCUCCAUAGUUUGGCCUAUCAUCCUCAAACCAGUGGGCAGACUGAGAGGGUAAAUCAAAUACUUGAGGACAUGUUAUGAGCUUGUGCUUUGGAAUUCCCACAGAAAUGGGAUAAUUGUUUACCAUUAGCGGAGUUCUCAUAUAAUAAUAGCUAUCAAGAAAGCAUUAAGAUGGCACCCUUCGAAGCUUUAUAUGGACGACGGUGUCGUACUCCAUUAAACUGGUCUGAACCAGGUGAAAGAAAUUUCUUCAUACCUGAUAUGGUAAAGGAGACAGAAGAGAAAGUUCAAUGAAUAAUUCAUAAUUUGAAGAAAGCUCAAGUUUGUCAAAAGAAUUAUGCAGACAAACACCAGAUACCCUUGUACUUUCUAGUUGGAGAUUAUGUCUACCUAAAAGUUUCACCAAUGAAGGGUGUAUCCCUUUUCGGGGUAAAAGGGAAGCUUGCACCCCAGUAUAUUGGUCCUUUUCCUAUCCUUGAAAGAUAUGGACCAGUGGCAUACCGACUCCAGUUACCUGAAAUAGCCGUACAUAAUGUGUUCCAUGUGUCUCAAUUGAAGAAGUGUCUUCGGGUUCCCGAUCGAACCAUUGAAGUAAUGGAUGUUGCCUUAGAACCAGACUUGACAUAGUCAGAAAACAUCCUAUUCAAGUCUAGGAUCAAAAGGACAGAACUACCCGAAGAAAAACUCUCAAGUUUUACAAGAUACAGUGGAACCAACAUUCAGAAGACGAGGCUACAUGGAAAACUCAAGACUUUUUAGAGAAGAAUUUCCCAGGCUUUUUAGCCUCAUGUACUUCGUAAAAUGUGUACAAUUAUUGCAAUAGAGGAAGAACCCCAUACCACCCCUGCCUUGUACCAAAAAUAAGGAAAUAAAGAUAUGUCGUGUUUCCUUUUCCAUUACUUGCCCUAAGGACUUUUAAUCUCGGGACGAGAUUCUUUUAUGGGGGGAAGGAUGUAACACCCCUGGUGUUACUGCCACUAAAACUUGAGCAUAACAUCAUAAGCAUUGGCAUAUCAUGUGAUUGUUACACUUAGAAUGCAUUCAUUAGGAAAAAUGUUCAAACAUGUUGUAUUGAUGGGACAUGCUUUAAGUAAAACCCUAGGGUACAUUGCUUAACCCUAGAUUGGGCUUAAUAGAGCAAACAAGGCCUAAUAAGAGAAAACUUCAAAACUUGGUUAAAAUUAUCAUAAAAUCUCACCAAGGAUGAACUUAAGUAACAUCUAAACCCUAGAAGUAUCAAAAACCCUAAAAAGAACCCUGGAAAGCCCUAGACUAAAACCCUAGGGGGCUAAGUGCAAAACUAGUGCACUUUUGGAUUAAAGUGCAAAAACCAUGAAAAUAGGGUAUCUUAACUCAUAUGAUUCACAUGUGUGUGGAUUUGCAACUUAAACCCUAAGUUUUGGGCCUAUUUGCAAAAACCCUAUUUGAACUCUAUUGGGAUUAAGUCUGAAAUUCAGAAAAUUGGCUCCACUUUGAAGCCUUGUAACUUCCAAAUUAUGAGGAGUUUGCCCUAGAUCAACACAUCAAACUUGUAGAGCUAUGUAAGGAGAACAAUUUUUAUUAAGUAAGCCCUAGUGCUACAUGAAAGUAAGAGAAAAACAGACCUGAAGAUGGUCUGUCAGUCGAGCAUAACCCUGAAAUCAGACUGACAAUGGCCUAGAACUAGGUUUGAGAGCCAUUUUGAGCUAGAUUUGUUGCUCGGUUGAUGGUUGUUGCUAUAGCAUAAUUGUAGCUAGUAUGAAGGGCUACAAGUUUGCUACUGGCGAAUUAGCAAGUUCUUAUGUAGAAAUAUGUGUUCUGGACGCUACAAGUUGGGCUGUCAUGGGCUCUGAAUUGCAUUUCUGAUGGUACAGUAUCUCGAUCGGAUCGCCAGCUCAGUCCCUCGCCGCCAACGAUCCGCGCGCGGAUUCGUGCUAUCGCCAUCGUUAUUCGCACUUAGAACAACUAGAUAGCGCCGGGGUCAGUAAAUAUCACACCGUGGAUAUGGUCCGGCCACUAAAUUACUCCGACCACCGUACCCGAGCUAGUUACGAUUGCUUCGGAUGGGUUCACCGGAGAUUGCCACCUCGCGGUCUUGCACCACGUGCCCAGGCAUCUUACCACGUCACGGUUAGUCGUGUUAGGCAUAUCCGGUGAUCUCCGGGAGGACCGCCACGGUGAAAGCCACUAAGCGCUUGCGCCAGUGCCCCUCUUCCUCUCCGGCCUCCGCGCGUCUUCGUCCAAUUCACCGGCCACCUCUCACGGACUCUAUAAAUUGAGCACACUGUGAGCUCCGUAGGAUAAUUACGCAUCCAUAGCACCCACGCUUGCCUCCAAUCGUUCACCAGAGACCGUGAAUUGCUCGUUGCCCCCAAUAUCCGUUUCCGCCGCCGUAGAAACACCCCACCGAGGCCAGCUUGCUCCAGGUCCGUUCAUGCUCCCUGUUCUCUCGUUUUAGCGUGCUUGUGUGUCCCUGUUGCUCCUCGACCCCUCCAAUUGAGCUAGAGUCCCUAGGAUCACCGGGAACGGGCUCGGUUAACCGUGGUGUCCGCUGUCACCGUGGGCAGGGCGUGUUAGUGCGCCGAUGGUGAAAUUAGUUUGGGGGAAACGCUCCUUAGGACUAGAAUUAGGUGUAGACCGAAGAAGAGCAUCGGUCAUUGAGUAAUUCGACUGGUGUGCGCUCGCUAGAGCUCGGCUCCUCGCCAUUCCCCGUCAUGGACCUCGGCCUGCGAAGAAACAGAACUUGGGGGAGGUUUCUGUAAACUGUCAGUGACUCCAGGAAUAGUGCUGCGACCCCGCUUCUGGUUAUUCAAGACAACGAGGGCCUAUUCGCAAAGUCUGUACGCGGGCGUGCUUUCCUCCAGUAUUGGGCCGACUUGGGCCGGUUUCGGUCCAAUACUGUUCAUGUCUUUUCUUUUUCCUUUUCUGCCAGAGCUAAAGAAAUUCUAGAAAAUUGUAGAAAAAUGAUAAAAAUACCAAACCAAUUUUGCUAGGUUUCUAAUUUCCUAUAAUAUUUAAUAAAAAUAGUUUCAUGAUUUUUAAUCCAAAUAGGAAAUUAUAGAGCAUUUAAAAUAGCCAAAAACCAUGCUUCUAGAUUUUUAGGGAAUAAAUAAUAAAUCCAAAAUUCACUAAACUUUUAGGGUAAACUCUAAAUAAUAUUUAGAAGCCUUGGGUUAAAGUUUGAUAUGAUUUGGACCAUGUUUGAUACUUAGAACCCAAAACCCUAGCCCGUGCCCUAUGAACUUCACUAUUGACUCCAAAAACCCUAAGUUCUCGGAGAUCCGUGAAGGAAAGUUGUAUUCAAGACCAUAGAUAAUAAACUUUUAUUAUCUUUGCAUCUUCAUGAGCAUUACAUGAGCAUUCAUUAUUAUAUUUGGCUAUAUUUAGAAAACGAGGAGGAAGUAGAAGUUGAAGAGACAAGGACUUCAUCACCACCACCACCUGAAGAACAUCAGACAUGCAACUAUUUUUAUUUUGAUAUCUACGGAACAGAGCCUGAUUCACCAGUAACACAAGGCAAGCCCUAGUGCAUUUGCCACCUCCUUGUUCCUUUUAAAAUCUUUCUCACUUGCUUGAUGAUGCAUUAUGUGAUAGGAGUUGUGUGCUAAACCAAUUCCUGCAUUUCCUUCCUUGGAUUUGAUUACUUCUCCCUAAGUCCCUGUUUUACAAAAGGUUUUUCUUAUGCUUAGCUUUGCUUUAGAAAAACAAAAUGUUUUGUUUUCACAAAAGAUGAUGUUGCAAAGUGGGUGGGAUGUUUUUCAAAAACAAAACUUGAUGGUGGAUCCAUCAUGGCCAUGAUGGGUUCAACAUCGGAAAAUAUGUACCUCUGCCAGGUACCAAACUUUGGGUUUGAAAUGAUUAAGCUGAGACCGGGCGGGUGACUUGCACGAGAAGAGAGACUCGGUGUAGUGUCUCCAUCUGAGUCGAUUAAGGAUCGUCUCGAUGUAGGCUUGCUGAUCGAGGACCCUUUAACUGGUCACAUGCCUCAUCAUGGGUAAGCUUUGCCUCGGGCAGACUAAUACCAGAAUAAGAUAACACGCAAUGGGAGUGGAGAGAUGGCGAGAGUAGCGUGUACCCUCCGUGGCAAGAGGCUGGACAGUGGUGUAUCUGUGCUCUCGGUUGGCGUGAACCUGAUCUGGUCUUAAGAACCCCGGUGGCGAGUUGACAUAUGCAAGGGUUAAGUGCUACAUAUGUCGUGUGAUUGGAGUUCCUCAGCUGAGUAUAAUCGAUUCGGAUCGCCAUAACUUCGCGGAUAUGAAGACUUGGUCACUGCCCUACACAUAGCAAUCCAGUGAAGAUAAAGGGAUGUUAAGAAAUUGGCUAGUAUAGGUCAAGUGAUUGAAUUAGGGUAGAAAGAACCCUAGCUGUGGGUAAUUUUACUUAACCUGACAAAUAAAACUUGAUUUUUAAGGAUCCACUAUUAGUAAGCAUUUCUACAAACAGAGUCAUUGAUUAUUGAUAAGCCUUACCUUGACUCCCUUAAAGCCAGCAUAUCCUUGAGAGUCUUUUACUUUGACGGGUAAGUCUUGCGAAAGUACACUUCGUACUCAGGGCUUUGUCCCAUGUUGUUUUAGGUGAAGAAGCAGCAAACUUUUGUUGCUUCUGUUCCAAGGUGGUACCAAAAGAAGAGAAUCAAGACUAAAGCUACGGGAGGAAAGGUCCUCCGUUAAGAAAACUUUUACUGUUUAUUUGGGAGGGGUUUUUGCCUCCCAUGUUAUGUAAUAAUAAUAAUAAUAAUACUCUGCACUCUUAUAUUUUGUUCUGGUCUGUAACUAUAUAACUCUGUCU
rnacentral:lncRNA from 1 species